CAGUAGCCACGGUAAUACGUAGGUGGCAAGCGUUGUCCGGAAUUAUUGGGCGUAAAGCGCGCGCAGGCGGAUCGGUCAGUCUGUCUUAAAAGUUCGGGGCUUAACCCCGUGAUGGGAUGGAAACUGCCAAUCUAGAGUAUCGGAGAGGAAAGUGGAAUUCCUAGUGUAGCGGUGAAAUGCGUAGAUAUUAGGAAGAACACCAGUGGCGAAGGCGACUUUCUGGACGAAAACUGACGCUGAGGCGCGAAAGCCAGGGGAGCGAACGGGAUUAGAUACCCCCGUAGUCCCUGUCUAUUAUACA
rnacentral:rRNA from 1 species